rnacentral:tRNA from 1 species
CCCGGGGUAGAGAAGCCUGGUAUCUCGGGAGGCUCAUAACCUCCAGACGCCGGUUCAAAUCCGGCCCCCGGAA